AGAGUUUGAUCAUGGCUCAGGACGAACGCUGGCGGCGUGCUUAACACAUGCAAGUCGAGCGGUAAGGCCUUUCGGGGUACACGAGCGGCGAACGGGUGAGUAACACGUGGGUGAUCUGCCCUGCACUCUGGGAUAAGCUUGGGAAACUGGGUCUAAUACCGGAUAUGACCACAGCAUGCAUGUGUUGUGGUGGAAAGAUUUAUCGGUGCAGGAUGGGCCCGCGGCCUAUCAGCUUGUUGGUGGGGUAAUGGCCUACCAAGGCGACGACGGGUAGCCGACCUGAGAGGGUGACCGGCCACACUGGGACUGGGACACGGCCCAGACUCCUACGGGAGGCAGCAGUGGGGAAUAUUGCACAAUGGGCGGAAGCCUGAUGCAGCGACGCCGCGUGAGGGAUGAAGGCCUUCGGGUUGUAAACCUCUUUCAGCAGGGACGAAGCGUGAGUGACGGUACCUGCAGAAGAAGCACCGGCUAACUACGUGCCAGCAGCCGCGGUAAUACGUAGGGUGCGAGCGUUGUCCGGAAUUACUGGGCGUAAAGAGUUCGUAGGCGGUUUGUCGCGUCGUUUGUGAAAACCCGGGGCUCAACUUCGGGCUUGCAGGCGAUACGGGCAGACUUGAGUGUUUCAGGGGAGACUGGAAUUCCUGGUGUAGCGGUGAAAUGCGCAGAUAUCAGGAGGAACACCGGUGGCGAAGGCGGGUCUCUGGGAAACAACUGACGCUGAGGAACGAAAGCGUGGGUAGCAAACAGGAUUAGAUACCCUGGUAGUCCACGCCGUAAACGGUGGGCGCUAGGUGUGGGUUCCUUCCACGGGAUCUGUGCCGUAGCUAACGCAUUAAGCGCCCCGCCUGGGGAGUACGGCCGCAAGGCUAAAACUCAAAGGAAUUGACGGGGGCCCGCACAAGCGGCGGAGCAUGUGGAUUAAUUCGAUGCAACGCGAAGAACCUUACCUGGGUUUGACAUACACCGGAAAACCGUAGAGAUACGGUCCCCCUUGUGGUCGGUGUACAGGUGGUGCAUGGCUGUCGUCAGCUCGUGUCGUGAGAUGUUGGGUUAAGUCCCGCAACGAGCGCAACCCUUGUCUUAUGUUGCCAGCACGUAAUGGUGGGGACUCGUAAGAGACUGCCGGGGUCAACUCGGAGGAAGGUGGGGACGACGUCAAGUCAUCAUGCCCCUUAUGUCCAGGGCUUCACACAUGCUACAAUGGCCAGUACAGAGGGCUGCGAGACCGUGAGGUGGAGCGAAUCCCUUAAAGCUGGUCUCAGUUCGGAUCGGGGUCUGCAACUCGACCCCGUGAAGUCGGAGUCGCUAGUAAUCGCAGAUCAGCAACGCUGCGGUGAAUACGUUCCCGGGCCUUGUACACACCGCCC
rnacentral:rRNA from 1 species